UAAGACGAACCGUGCGAACGUUGUUCGGAAUCACUGGGCAUAAAGGGCGCGUAGGCGGGCCGCCAAGUCCGGGGUGAAAGCUCCCGGCCCAACCGGGAACGUGCCUGGGAUACUGGCGGCCUCGAGGGGGAUAGGGGCAGACGGAACUUCCGGUGGAGCGGUGAAAUGCGUUGAUAUCGGAAGGAACGCCGGUGGCGAAAGCGGUCUGCUGGACCCCUACUGACGCUGAGGCGCGAAAGCCAGGGGAGCAAACGGGAUUAGAUACCCCGGUAGUCCUGGCCCUAAACGAUGGGUACUAGGUAGUGGACCGGACAUGGGUUCCCUGCCGAAGCGAAUGUGGUAAGUACCCCGCCUGGGGAGUAUGGUCGCAAGGCUG
rnacentral:rRNA from 1 species